GCUUAACACAUGCAAGUCGAGGGGCAGCACAGGUAGCAAUACCGGGUGGCGACCGGCGCACGGGUGAGUAACGCGUAUGCAACUUACCUAUCAGAGGGGGAUAACCCGGCGAAAGUCGGACUAAUACCGCAUGAAGCAGGGGCCCCGCAUGGGGAUAUUUGCUAAAGAUUCAUCGCUGAUAGAUAGGCAUGCGUUCCAUUAGGCAGUUGGUGGGGUAACGGCCCACCAAACCGACGAUGGAUAGGGGUUCUGAGAGGAAGGUCCCCCACAUUGGUACUGAGACACGGACCAAACUCCUACGGGAGGCAGCAGUGAGGAAUAUUGGUCAAUGGCCGAGAGGCUGAACCAGCCAAGUCGCGUGAGGGAUGAAGGUUCUAUGGAUCGUAAACCUCUUUUAUAAGGGAAUAAAGUGCGGGACGUGUCCCGUUUUGUAUGUACCUUAUGAAUAAGGAUCGGCUAACUCCGUGCCAGCAGCCGCGGUAAUACGGAGGAUCCGAGCGUUAUCCGGAUUUAUUGGGUUUAAAGGGUGCGUAGGCGGCCUUUUAAGUCAGCGGUGAAAGUCUGUGGCUCAACCAUAGAAUUGCCGUUGAAACUGGGGGGCUUGAGUAUGUUUGAGGCAGGCGGAAUGCGUGGUGUAGCGGUGAAAUGCAUAGAUAUCACGCAGAACCCCGAUUGCGAAGGCAGCCUGCCAAGCCAUGACUGACGCUGAUGCACGAAAGCGUGGGGAUCAAACAGGAUUAGAUACCCUGGUAGUCCACGCAGUAAACGAUGAUCACUAGCUGUUUGCGAUACACUGUAAGCGGCACAGCGAAAGCGUUAAGUGAUCCACCUGGGGAGUACGCCGGCAACGGUGAAACUCAAAGGAAUUGACGGGGGCCCGCACAAGCGGAGGAACAUGUGGUUUAAUUCGAUGAUACGCGAGGAACCUUACCCGGGUUUGAACGCAUUCGGACCGAGGUGGAAACACCUUUUCUAGCAAUAGCCGUUUGCGAGGUGCUGCAUGGUUGUCGUCAGCUCGUGCCGUGAGGUGUCGGCUUAAGUGCCAUAACGAGCGCAACCCUUGCCACUAGUUACUAACAGGUAAAGCUGAGGACUCUGGUGGGACUGCCAGCGUAAGCUGCGAGGAAGGCGGGGAUGACGUCAAAUCAGCACGGCCCUUACAUCCGGGGCGACACACGUGUUACAAUGGCGUGGACAAAGGGAGGCCACCUGGUGACAGGGAGCGAAUCCCCAAACCACGUCUCAGUUCGGAUCGGAGUCUGCAACCCGACUCCGUGAAGCUGGAUUCGCUAGUAAUCGCGCAUCAGCCAUGGCGCGGUGAAUACGUUCCCGGGCCUUGUACACACCGCCCGUCAAGCCAUGGGAGCCGGGGGUACCUGAAGUCCGUAACAGGGAGGAUCGGCCUAGGGUAAAACUGGUGACUGGGGCUAA
rnacentral:rRNA from 1 species